AGAGUUUGAUCCUGGCUCAGGACGAACGCUGGCGGCGUGCUUAACACAUGCAAGUCGAACGGACGAUGAGGGGCUUGCUCCUCAAAGUUAGUGGCGAACGGGUGAGUAAUACGCAGAUAACCAACCCCCUGGAUUGGGACAACAAGUCGAAAGAUUUGCUAAUACCAAGUGGAGUGGCAGGGUCGCAUGACCUUGUUAUAAAAGGCAACCUCUUAAUAAUGUUGCCGCCAGAGGCUGGGUCUGCGGCUGAUUAGGCAGUUGGCGAGGUAAAAGCUCACCAAACCGACGAUCAGUAGCCGGUCUGAGAGGAUGAACGGCCACAAUGGGACUGAGAUACGGCCCAUACUCCUACGGGAGGCAGCAGUGGGGAAUAUUCCGCAAUGGGCGAAAGCCUGACGGAGCGACGCCGCGUGAGUGAAGAAGGUCUUCGGAUCGUAAAGCUCUGUUGACUGAGACGAAUUGUCCUUAGGGGGAGUUGACGGUAUCAGUCGAGGAAGCCACGGCUAACUACGUGCCAGCAGCCGCGGUAAUACGUAGGUGGCAAGCGUUGUCCGGAAUUAUUGGGCGUAAAGGGAGCGCAGGCGGUUUGUCAAGUUGUACUUAAAAGUGCAGGGCUCAGCUCUGUGAGGGGUACAAAACUGUCAGACUUGAGAUGAGGAGAGGCAAGCGGAAUUCCGUGUGUAGCGGUGAAAUGCGUAGAUAUACGGAGGAACNCCAGUGGCGAAGGCGGCUUGCUGGACUUAUUCUGACGCUGAGGCUCGAAAGCCAGGGUAGCGAACGGGAUUAGAUACCCCGGUAGUCCUGGCUGUAAACGAUGAGUGCUAGGUGUGGGUGGUAUCGACUCCAUCCGUGCCGGAGUUAACGCAAUAAGCACUCCGCCUGGGGAGUACGGCCGCAAGGUUGAAACUCAAAGGAAUUGACGGGGGCCCGCACAAGCGGUGGAGUAUGUGGUUUAAUUCGACGCAACGCGAAGAACCUUACCAAGCCUUGACAUUGACCGAAAAGCUAUGAAAGUAGCUCCUUUCUUCGGAAACGGGAAAACAGGUGGUGCAUGGCUGUCGUCAGCUCGUGUCGUGAGAUGUUGGCUUAAGUGCCGCAACGAGCGCAACCCCUGCCUUUUGUUGCCAGCACGUAAAGGUGGGAACUCAAAAGGGACUGCCGGGGACAACCCGGAGGAAGGUGGGGAUGACGUCAAGUCAUCAUGCCCCUUAUGGCUUGGGCUACACACGUACUACAAUGGCUGGUCACAGACUGAAGCAAAAUCGAGAGAUGGAGCGAAACGGAGAAAACCAGUCUCAGUUCGGAUUGUACUCUGCAACCCGAGUACAUGAAGUCGGAAUCGCUAGUAAUCGCAGGUCAGCAUACUGCGGUGAAUACGUUCCCGGGCCUUGUACACACCGCCCGUCACACCACGGAAGUCGAUCACACCCGAAGUACCGCAAGGUCCUAAGGCGGGGUCGGUGACUGGGGUGAAGUCGUAACAAGGUAGCC
rnacentral:rRNA from 1 species